rnacentral:rRNA from 1 species
GAUGAACGCUGGCGGCGUGCCUAAUACAUGCAAGUCGAGCGAACGGACGAGAAGCUUGCUUCUCUGAUGUUAGCGGCGGACGGGUGAGUAACACGUGGAUAACCUACCUAUAAGACUGGGAUAACUUCGGGAAACCGGAGCUAAUACCGGAUAAUAUUUUGAACCGCAUGGUUCAAAAGUGAAAGACGGUCUUGCUGUCACUUAUAGAUGGAUCCGCGCUGCAUUAGCUAGUUGGUAAGGUAACGGCUUACCAAGGGAACGAUGCAUAGCCGACCUGAGAGGGUGAUCGGCCACACUGGAACUGAGACACGGUCCAGACUCCUACGGGAGGCAGCAGGAGGAAAUCUGCCGCAAUGGGCGAAAGCCUGACGAGGCAACGCCGCGUGAGGGAUGAAGGUCUUCGGUUCGUAAAACUCUGUUAUUAGGGAAGAACAUAUGUGUAAGUAACUGUGCACAUCUGGACGUUACCAAAGCAGAAAGCCCGGGCAAACUCCGG